CUAGGAACUACCCCACCCUGUUGUUCCCAAGAGAACAAAUGUACACUUGAUAGCCAAGCAGGUGGCAUGGGUUGUGGCAAUAAACAUGUCCUUUCCUGUAAGGGAGCAGUGGACGAGGUUUAUGGAUCCAUGAGCUUUCCUGUGGGCAAGCCAUUGUGUCCAGUUAAAAUUGUAACUGAAAACAUGCGUCUCUCCCAAGUUCUCGAUGAUUCCACCCAUGCAUAGCCCAAAGUCCCUGAGCACUGCUCCCACCGUCGAUUCGUCUGACCACGAGCACGACCAGCUUCUGGGAUGAAAAAUAGCAUAGGGACCACUAAAAGUCGGGGUCCUUAAAACAUGAUACAUUUCAUAUCUUCAGGACAGCUUUGUGUGUGAAGAUGGAUGAUCACGAUACAUGAUUCAAGGCAAAUAUGAAUUUUUCUGACUACAAGCAAGAUUUUUAUUUCUUCAAAAAUACUUACGAUGGGAAAAUCCAUUAAUUAGAUUCCAAUAGAGCAACUGGGAAAACAAGCAAAGUUUUACAGAAGCUUUCAUUGCUUCACAGAAAAUAAACAUCUCUUAGCAUACUGCAGGCUCCAUAAAAUUGUUAGCUUAGAUUUUGGCUCUUUUUCUACAUGAACGUAACGGUCCAUGAACUCAUAUUUGGAAUCCCGAACAAUUACAUAACUUAUUAAAUCUUGCCAAGAUCAGUACUA